rnacentral:lncRNA from 1 species
CACGCACCCGGCGCGGCGCGGGUGGGGAAACUGUGGCUGGAGGGGAAGGAGCGCGCUCCAGUUGUUCCAUGGAUGCAUGAUCCAAACCCACCCAACUACCUGGAAUUUGGAAAAAGGAAGACUAGCUUGGAUACUGGCAGAAAAGGAUGAUAGACUGGGGACUGGGAGUCUCAGGAGUUGCCUGAGAUUGUCAAUGGAGUCAGAAAGUGUCCUAUUCCCUAUUUCUGCUGCCCCUGCUUUGGGCAAGUGGAAAAGAUACCAGCAGGCAAGGCCCCCAGCCUCCUGCCAAGGCAGGUGA